GACGAACGCUGGCGGCGCGCCUAAUGCAUGCAAGUCGAGCGACGCAUGCCCGGUGGGUAACCACUAGGUAUGACGGAGCGGCGAACGGGUGAGUAACACGUGAGCAACCUGCCCGAAGACCGGGAUAGCCCGGGGAAACCCGGAUUAAUACCGGAUACCCUCUCUGGAUCGCAUGGUCCGGUGAGGAAAUGCCUUUGCGCUUCGGGAUGGACUCGCGGCCUAUCAGCUUGUUGGUGAGGUAACGGCUCACCAAGGCUACGACGGGUAGCUGGUCUGAGAGGACGAUCAGCCACACUGGGACUGAGACACGGCCCAGACUCCUACGGGAGGCAGCAGCAGGGAAUCUUGUCCAAUGGGCGCAAGCCUGAGACAGCGACGCCGCGUGAGGGAUGAAGGCCUUCGGGUUGUAAACCUCUUUCAGGAGGGACGAAAUUGACGGUACCUCCAGAAGAAGCCCCGGCCAACUACGUG
rnacentral:rRNA from 1 species